UCUCGUUCGUGCCGUAGGACGCAUGCCCGCCAAAACCCCAUGGGUGGAGAUUGAAGGCGGCAGGGAGGAGUCACUAUAGAAAUCGAAGCCACCAGCAGAAUUGGUCGCUUGCAUGACGCUUGCGCGUGCCAUGAGUGCUCUGCGUUGUGCUCGACCCAAAAAGAUCAAGGACGCUAUUUUCCGCCCGCCUUCACGGUCCAAAUACCCUUAGUCGGUGCAUUUUCAGACGCUUCGGGUUUGUCGCUGUAAUUCGUCGGAUGCUUUGCCCUUCGCUCACUGUUUUUUCUUUCUUCCUCGUUCUCUGGAGGACUCGGUAUGGUUCAUCCUCGAGUAUGUUAGAGAUGCUGUUGAGAAGGAAAAUUCAUUCGAUCAAGUUCUCUUCACAGACCCAAAGACCCUCAGUCGAUACAUUUUUCAAACUUGGUAUAUGGCUCUCAAACUCGAGUACUUCAUAUCUAUCGACUUCAAGUUUUACAGAGAUCAAGUUAAAUGAUAUAGUUGUAUGGCAUUGGAACUGAUUGUCUUCUAUUUCAAGGAAAGGCUAUAUAGACGGACAAAUGCAAGGUGGUGGACUAUUCCUUUGUAAUUUUUUUUUUAAUUUUGUUUGUAAAACAUGUGAAUUAGUUUUAGCUCCUCCGUAUUCUAGAUGGUUUUCAAUUUUGCUCCCAUAUAUGUGUGUCUGGAUUUGUUCCUGGCUAGAUAUUCACCAAGGAAUGUUAGAUCUUUUAUGAACAAGUCCGUAUCUUUUGUGCACUGAGUCAAUGCAAUGAGAAAAUUCUUUAUGCAUCACAUGGCCAUCCUUCCCCUAUUUAUACAAACAGGGGCUAGAUAGGUUCCAUGCAAGUUCCCUAACUACCCCAUUGAUUCCUAAUGAUUACCCUCAUUACCCUUAGUUCCCACAUGACAAUAACUAAUGACAUUGUACUGAUCCUUGAGGACAAGGGUCAUUCUUAUGGGGGAGUAUGGUCACGUGAGAACUAAGUAGUUGGGGAUUAAGUCAAGGGGUGGCUAGGGAAUUUGGGACUGUAGGAAACCUAUCUAGUAUGAAUAGGGAAGGAUAUUUGGAUAUGUAGAUGAUGUAUAAGGGAGUGAAGAACAGGGAAAAUAGGAUAGAGAAAGGAGAGUAAGGCAAGGAUUGAGAACUCGAGAGAUGUUUCUGGAUAAUGCUUGAGAGAAUUCAUAUUCAAUUCAUAUCAGGUACAUCUACAUCUCAGGCCUAUUUUUACAUCUAGACCCGCUAACCUAUCCCUCUUAUUCUAAUUAUGAUUACACAUCAGUAGAUCGUUGGUGUGAAUGAGAUAGUAUUUUGUGUUAGUGUGUUCUGUUGGCCUUUGACAUGCACCACUUACACUGAGGUGGUUGCAGUUAGUUUGAAAGGUUCUUGCUCAACAAGAGGCCAUAUUAAUGUUUUCAUGAGUAUUCUUGCUUUUUGGUUGAUUAGUUGUGGAGAUGAAAUUCUAAGAAAUUUUUUUAAUCAAGAAAUUUGAAGUUGAAUGGAAGUAUUUUCUUAAAUCAGGGGCUUAAAGGCUUAAAGCUGGUAAAUUUAGACAGUACAUUAUUUUAAUAUCAUUGUAGCAUUUAUAAUGAAAAAUGUGAUUAAGUUUUAUGUUGAAACAGCCUUGGAUGAGAGAAGGUCAACUUUUGUUUGGUUAUCUAUAGGUUUUAAGUUUUGGUGCCUUUUGGUGUGCUGAGGAGAUGUCUUAAACUUAAACUUCUUGUAUCUCCUGUUGUGGAGCUAUGCUAGCUUAAUUGUCAGUCUUGAAACUCCCAUUCUAUUAGCUGUCCAUCAUUUCAUCUUUUUCCCUGCGGUUCUGUUGACAUCCUUAAAUUUUUUGUUCACCGAGUUUUUACUAGGUGUAGGCAGAAUAUUGCUUUCUAACAACCCGCUCAACUAUAUUGGUCUAAGUGGCCUUUGAAAUGGCUGUGGAGUGUGUGACAGAGGAAGCGAUAAUUAUGUUGGGUCUCCUUAUCUUUUUAAUGUUUUUUUAAUGUCAUCAUGGAAUAUCUUUUUAAUGUUCUUUUAAUCUCAUCAUGAAAUGCCAUUUUUUCUGUAUUAAUUAUUAUCCUUUUAGAUAAUAUUCUUUCAUAGUGCCUUAGUGGUUAAUAAAACUUAAUAGUUUAGGCUGGAGACGAAGACUUGCUUGUUUGCUAUUCCUUCUCUGGGCAUUGUUUGUAAUCAGAUCUUUUUAUCAAACUAUAAUCUUUUUGUGGGGUUUCUUUCUUCGUCUCAUUCUUGUGUAUUAUUCUUUGGAGUGGAACUAGGUAAUGACAUUUUGAUGGUUGAAAUUGUCAAUUGAAGCUCAUGUUCUCAUUUUUCAUUAUUUGUUAGUAAUAUACAUGUUUCUUUGACAGGUGUUUUUUUUUUUUUUUUUGGGUAGGAAAUAUGGUUGUUUUGAAGGACCCUGAGAAGUGAAAGAAUCAUGUAGUCAGAAGACUGGCUGCCAUUGAAGGUUGUGAAAUGAAUUCUACAUUGAGCCUUUCAUUCUUGAGCAGGAUCAAUGUUGGGUAUUGGCUGAUAAUCAAAAUUUGAAACCCAAGUAGCAUGUAGAGAGAGAUUACUGUCCUCAAAGACCAUAUAGGAUUAGCUGUAAUUAUGCUAUCCUUUUGACUCUUCAAAUUGCAGGAAGCAUAUGAUAGUAGAAUAUUUGGUCCAGUUCAAAUGACAGACUUUGUGGACAGAGUCACAUAUUGCUUGCGAUCUGCAGCAGCCCAUGCCCUGUACAGUAGAGGUGGACCAAACUUUUGACCGUUAAUAUUAUUAUUAUUAUUAUUAUUUUUUAUAACUGAGGACGUGCCUCUAAUAAUUGUAUAUUCUACUCCUCCUCCAGUCACUUUGGCAUGCAGUGGGAUUUGCCAGUGUUUGUAAUUAAACUGGAUAUUGAUGAGAUGGCAAUUAACAGUCUUCCAUCAUCUUUGACGUUGCAAUGGGCUUAAAUACAUUUAUUUAUUUUCAUUAUGAAAUUUGUUAUCA